AGGUGAGAGCUAGGAGGCUGAGAAAUUUAUAGAAAAUAUUUGUAUAAUUUCAUCAUUUAAUAAGUCAACUAACCAAAGAAUAAAUGGAUGCUUUAAUGAAUGAAAAAGGAAGAGUAAAUCUAUCUAUAUAUGAAUAACUGUUUGUCCUAACUAAAAAGUAUGAGCUGGGGGGCUGAAAUUUGUAAACAACAAAAGUGUACAAGUUAAUAAACCAGCAAAAUCAAUAGCAGAAGUUCGUUAAGACGUAUUUAAAAGGUAGAACAUCUUCAAGUCCAAACUAUAUAUAUAAAAUGGAACUGUCAACACACAACUUUAAAAGUUCACUCUAUGAACAACUUUAGCAAGUCAUACCCCAAGGCCUACUUCACCUGCCCAGAGGGUAUUGCAUGCUGUCAUCUAAUGUUCUCGGCUUGCUGUCAAACUACGCAAUCAGCAGCACCAACGGCAACCGCACCGGCGGCAACAACGGCAGCAAGUCAUGUUAUCAGCACACACACACACUGCAGCUGCAUAAUCACUAAUCACUGAGCGUUAUGAGAGUGCCGAACACAGCAACGAGCGCAGCGAGCACAGCAAACAACGUGAGUGCCAAGACAAGACGUGAGAGACGACGAGAUGCAGCCACCAGCAACAGCAGCAGCAAGCAUUGGGGCAAGGCCAGAACAACGGCCGCAUUCUCAGCAUAGUUCUUCGAGUGGUUUGCCAUACAAAUCAAAAUUAGAUCUAUUUUAUCUAACGACUUUGAAGUACCCUGUGGAAAAUUGUGUAGCUCUAAUGAAAUUAAAUUCAUUCUAG